UAGGGGAGAACAGGGUAAUUAAAUCACUGCCCCUCUGCCUUCUCUUCUGCUCUCCCUCUCUUCUCUCUCUUCUCCGUCCUCUCUCAGCGAUCCCUCCUUCCAACUCUUGGAUCAUUGUCCUCCUUUGUCAGAUCUCGCGCCCCCUCAUCCUGCACCUCCUCUCCCGCUGCAUGUUCCCUCUUUCCUCCUCUCCUUGUUCUCCCUUCUUCCUACUAAAUGGAUGGAACAUGCAAAACGGGGGCUAAAUUUGAAGCUUAAGAGGGCGCCCUACACAACCUAUCGAUGUGAGAAACGGUAUCUCCGGUGUGGUCAAUGAACACGAGUGCAUACUGCAUAGGCAGUGACACCCGUAGACAAAACACAGCAACUCUCAUUUCGUUUUCUACGAAAAGACCAGUUGAAAUGACGCUAUCAGGCAGUGGUCGUUGGGAAUACGCACUGUUCUUCAUGAACCUUACGUCAGUUGACAGGAGAUUGACGGUGACAGCUGCUCACAGAGGGGAGGUGAAAGAUGUGGCCAAACAUGUCAUGGCAAAGGUCAGUGUGAAAGCAUGCCAGUCCACUCCUUCACAUCCAAGGCAACGUCCGGA
ensembl:lncRNA